GACCUGAGCACCGCGGCGGCGCAGCGACGGGAUCCCUGGAGAAGCAGCCGCAGUCUCGAGACGUCCCCCGCGCCCCCCACUGCCCGCCCCAGGCUCAGUGUAUGGGGCCGCGGCCCGCCAACCUUCGUUGAGACCGUCCCCGGGGUGCGGUGGCCUCGGGCUCCAGAGCCCGCCCCGCCACCCGAGGGCUGCGCGCGGCCCCGGGCCUGCUCGCCGCGCGGCUCCGCGCGUCCCGGGCCAGGAAGUGGCGGCGCCGAGCGCCAUGGCCCACUCCCCGGUGCAGUCGGGCCUGCCGGGCAUGCAGGUAGGUUGGGGUGGCCCGGUCGGGCUGCGGCCAGGGCGGAAGCGGGCAACUUGGCGGUGUCAACACGCCCCCCCUCCCCCCAACCAGCCGGGCCCGCUUCUCCGGGAUCUUCGCCGACUCGGGCGGCGGGGAUCUCGGGUGUAUGCACGUGGAGGGGCUUUGGGGUCUGCGGCCUGGGGCCGAGGUGGGGUGCAGGAGCUUUGCGCUCCCCAAGUCCGACGCGCAGGCCGAGCGCCCAUCCCGGGCAGGAGUCUGAACUAGUGUCCUUGGAGGCCCCGCUUUGGUGCCUGGGCCCUAUGUGGGCCUGGGACAGGGAUAGCGGCACUCUGGGGUCCGUCCUCAGUUAGCAAAAGUCCCUCCCCAGACCCCUCAAGCGGGAGACCCGAGCGCAGGGCGGGAGCGCGCCCCGGCUGGUCACAGUCCGGGCGGGCCGCAGGGCGGGGUGCAGGAAGAUGUAACCUCGCAUCGGAGCCUGUAGUUCUGGUGCGGAAAGUGCGAGGUUGCAAACUCGGGAGGCGGAACCCACACCUCCGCGAGCGCCCUGGUGUGCAGAGCCCAGGUUCAUCCCUCGGGUGCCAGGACUCCGCUGCUGGACUUUCACUUUGAGACCGGUUGGCAUCCAGAGGAACUGUGUGCUAGCGGGCUUCUUGGUGCACACUUUGUAUCUUCUUAGCCUGCCAGUGACUUUUUCUUCGGAGGGGAAGGGGGCGGUGAGGGGACGGAGUUGAAUUUCAAGUUUAUAUGGAUGCACGAACUUUUUUUUUGCUAUUGAGGAUGGUUUUCUGCACUUUGAAAAACAAUCACUUGUCUGUUCAAACUUGUAAAGUUUGUGAGCGUAUAUAAUAAAUACAGACAUAAUGAUUGCGAUUAAGAUAGCAAGACCAGUCAAAGUUUUGCUUUCCCAAGGAAGUGAACGGAAGAGUUUUGCUUAAAAAAAAACAAACAAAAAUCAACAACAACAAAAAAAAAACAAAACACCUCAGAAUAUCCAAGGUUAUCAGUUUAUAGAUGCAGCAGGCGCCUUCUCUCUGGCUUCAGGGUUGAGCCGCAUGGACCUUGCUUGCCUCUUACUGCUUCUGCCACUUCUGAAAAUAGUUCCUAUCCCUCUUUUCUUCUUCUUUUUUCUUUCCAUACCACGUAAGGAAAAUGGUUUUCUUGGCCCCGGUUUUGAACUCUGGAAAAAUAGGAAUUCAAAGUUACCACUUCAGUGGCCACUAGAACUUGAGUCAUUUUUAAGGGAUAAUAAAGUUGGAAUUGAGAAGUGUCACUGGAAAAGUGCUCUCAAAGUAUUCCUGAGUCUCACCUUGCCUGCGUUCUAAAACUUGAUGGUGCUGGCCGCUAGUUGAAAGUCACCCCAGGCCUCCUGCAACUCUUGCCUUGGUUUGACUUCAGAGACAAGACAUCAGGGUCAACUGGGUGACAGUUUCUUACCUGUGGCCAGAAGGACCUCGUGGCACAUUUCUUCACGUUUUCUUCAUUCUGGCUGCUAUAGUGAUUUACCUGGCUCCACCCUGAAGCCUCUUCACUAGCCCCAACCUUUGUAAAAGAAAGUGUUUGAAAAGAUACUUAAUGUGGCAGUGUGUGGGGUCAGUACCAAGUGGUUCCCAGCUGGAUUCUGCUUCUGUUUGUUUUAAAGAAUGGGCCAAAAAAUCUUCAUUUUGGGAAAAAGAAAAAUUCAAUAACUUUACCCAAAAAGUGUAUUUCAUACGUGUUCUUGAAAGGAAGAUGUUUUAAUUUUGCUUUUUGGUGUGAAGACGAUAACCUUUUUUUACUAGUAUUAAUUUUUUUUGUCUGUUCUGGUUCCUCAGAGGAGGAAAAGUGGCUUCCCACAGUCGUACCCGCCCCUGUGUAUGUCUUCAAACCAUAUGAUACAUUUUUGGUGUAUUAUUGGAGACUGUUCCUUCCUUCCCUUCCCUCCAGAAAAGAAAAACCAGCGCGUUUAUUUUCAACUUGGAGUCAGGAGCUGCAGCUCCCUGGGAGCUGUUUUGAGGAUUACAUGAAAGGCAGAUCUGGCCUUGACUCUUUCUAGGGUAAAACUGGAGAGGAAGAGAGAGGCAUUCCCUAUUGCUGCUGUGCUUAUGAACUCCCUGUCCGUCCUGGCUCGGGUUUAGGAGGAACUGGGUUAGUUUGACAAGUCGGGUGUGGUAGUGGCUGUCUUCAAUCCCAACGCUCAGGAGGUGGAGGCCUCCUGGAUCUCUGUCAGUUCAAGGCCAGCCUGGGUUAUCUUAGAGAGUUCAAGGCCAGCCUGGGUUAUCUUAGAGAGUUCUAGGCCAGCCAAGGUUAAUGCUGAGACACUGUCUCAGAAGAAGUGCACAAAGUUUGGCAAGGCAGAAGUGCAGAUUCAGACAGCCCGAGGG
rnacentral:lncRNA from 1 species